UACGUAGGUGACAAGCGUUGUCCGGAUUUACUGGGCGUAAAGAGCGCGCAGGCGGUCGUUCAAGUCGAGUGUGAAAGCCCCCGGCUCAACUGGGGAGGGUCACUCGAUACUGGUCGACUCGAAGGCAGGAGAGGGUAGUGGAAUUCCCGGUGUAGUGGUGAAAUGCGUAGAUAUCGGGAGGAACACCAGUGGCGAAGGCGACUACCUGGCCUGUUCUUGACGCUGAGGCGCGAAAGCUAGGGGAGCAAACGGG
rnacentral:rRNA from 1 species